rnacentral:rRNA from 1 species
GACGAACGCUGGCGGCGUGCUUAACACAUGCAAGUGGAGCGACGAACCAGGCUUCGGCCUGGGGCAGAGCCGCGAACGGGUGAGUAACACGUGGGUAACCCACCCCGAUGACCGGGACAACCCGAGGAAACUCGAGCUAAUACCGGAUGAGCUCCUCUCUCAUGAGGGAGAGGAGGAAAGAUAGCUUCGGCCUUCGCAUCGGGACGGGCCCGCGGCGCAUUAGCUUGUUGGUGGGGUAAAGGCCUACCAAGGCUACGAUGCGUAGCUGGUCUGAGAGGACGAUCAGCCACACUGGGACUGAGACACGGCCCAGACACCUACGGGUGGCUG